rnacentral:rRNA from 1 species
ACAUGCCUACAACAUAGCAUUAAUGCACUGAAUCCCAUUAGAACUCCGUAGUUAAGCGUGCUCAGGCUAGAGUAGUACUAAGAUGGUGACCACCCGUGAAGUCCUAGUGUUUUACAUGCC